GAUGAACGCUGGCGGCGUGCUUAAUACAUGCAAGUCGAACGAAGAGCCUUUGUAGCAAUACAGGGGUUUCUUAGUGGCGAACGGGUGCGUAACGCGUUGGUGGCCUGCCCCAAAGUGUGGGAUAACAGUUCGAAAGGAUUGCUAAUACCGCAUGUGGUCAUCGGGUUUAGAAGCCGAUGACUAAAGCAGUAAUGCGCUUUGGGAGGGACCUGCGUCCCAUCAGCUAGUUGGUGAGGUAAUGGCUCACCAAGGCUUCGACGGGUAGGGGACCUGAGAGGGUGGUCCCCCACACUGGCACUGAAACACGGGCCAGACACCUACGGGUGGCAGCAGUAGGGAAUAUUGGGCAAUGGGCGAAAGCCUGACCCAGCAACGCCGCGUGCACGAUGAAGGUCUUCGGAUCGUAAAGUGCUUUUCCGAGAGAUGAGAAAGGACAGUAUCUCAGGAAUAAGUCUCGGCUAACUACGUGCCAGCCGCCGCCGUAAAAC
rnacentral:rRNA from 1 species